rnacentral:misc_RNA from 1 species
CAACCCUUAAGCCUAGCUUAGUGUUGGGAAUCUACUGUAUUGUAGUUCCUGAAAUAUAACGGCGGAUCUGUAAUAUCCUCUGAGCGUAGUAAUUUUUUUCUCGCUUUGGUUAGGUGUUGCAGCUCUCAGCCGCUAAACCCCCCAAUUUUAAUGG